CAGGAGGCAAACCGGGGGAACUGAAACAUCUAAGUACCCCGAGGAAGAGAAAUCAACCGAGAUUCCGAAAGUAGCGGCGAGCGAAAUUGGAUUAGCCCUUAAGCUUUUAAUGAUGCAGGUGAAGCCUCUGGAAAGUGGCGCAGUAAAGGGUGAUAGCCCCGUAACCGACACAUCAUCAUCAGUGAAAUCGAGUAAGGCGGGACACGUGAUAUCCUGUCUGAAUAUGGGGGGACCAUCCUCCAAGGCUAAAUACUACUGACUGACCGAUAGUGAACCAGUACCGUGAGGGAAAGGCGAAAAGAACCCCUGUGAGGGGAGUGAAAUAGAACCUGAAACCGUGUACGUACAAGCAGUAGGAGCACCUUCGUGGUGUGACUGCGUACCUUUUGUAUAAUGGGUCAGCGACUUAAUUUUAGUAGCAAGGUUAACCGUUUAGGGGAGCCGUAGGGAAACCGAGUCUUAACUGGGCGU
rnacentral:rRNA from 1 species